rnacentral:lncRNA from 1 species
GUUCUAUUCAGUAAGUUUUUAAGUUAAUAAUUUCGACGUAAGUUUAUAACUAAUAAGAGAAUUUCUAAUUCAACAUUUUUUUCUUUUUUUUUUUGUGUUCACCCAACUUUAUUUUUACUUUAAAAUAAAGUUUAGAGUAGAAAAAUGCUUUAAUCUCAUUCCACACUUUAUUUUAUAAUAGAGUAAAAAUAAAUUUGUAUAUAUUUUUUUUUAAUUAUAUUUUUCACUUCAAAAUGAAAUUGGAUUAGAACAAAACAUAUUUUAUUAUGAAGUUACUACAUUUUGAAAGAAAAUGUAGAAUUUUACAUUAGAGAUGAUCAAACAACUUGCAAAGGUGCAAACUAUAUCAUUUUCACGGACGCAUAGGUGUAAAAGAGUAGUUGAAAUGUUAAUGUCACAUUCACUAAUUAUGAGCAUACAUGUUGACUCGUGAAUACAAUUAUUACGCACCUACUGUGAAUAAGUGCGUAUAUGCUGAAAUAUAUUGCAAAGAAAACAUAUUAGCUAUUUGCUGUAAAGAAAACAUAUUAGCAUUGUUGUAAAGGAAACAUAUUAGCUAUUUAUCUCUUCUAGCCAGAAAAAAAUGUCUUACCCGUGACGCCAUAAAGUGAAUGCUCCAAAUAUUCGUUGCAGUGGUUCCUUUCAUUGCCACAUAAUUACGUGAACGUGGUAUAAAGAAAAGGAAAUAUAAGACACAAGUGAUACUUUGUUGGAAUUUAAAUCGUAAACUGGAAUCUCAUAUCAACAACAAAAGCAAGAGAUCUAUUGAUACAAGAAGCGAUUAACUGUUUUUUUUUGCUUAGAACAUCUCCAAAAACGAACUCUAUUUUGAAAAUUUACAAAACUUUAUAUUUGAAGUUUAAAUGUGUUAUUCUCCAAAAGCAAAACUUCAAACAUAAUUUCAAAAUUAUUUUUAUUUUCUAAUAUGAUCCUUAUAUUUCUCAUAACUAAUUUAAAUUCAUAAAACUUAUGUAAAUAACUAGCACAUAUAUAAACAUAUUACAAAAAUAUUAAUUAAUAAAAUAUUAUAUUAAAAUAUAACAUUUUAAGCAAAAUAACUUAAUUAAUAUUAAACUUCAAGCAAAAUAUCAUAUUAUUCCAUAAAGUGAUUUUCGUAAUGCAUAUAAGAUCUACUAGUGCAUUUCGAAGUAAAAAUGGCUCUCCUCAUUUUUAAUUUGUAGAUUAGAGAUUAAAAAAGAGUUUUUUUUGUUGAGUUUUUUUUGUAUAUUUUUGUUAUCUAAAUCUAGUUUUAAAUAUUUUAAAUCUUAUUUUAAAGUUUUAUUUAAUUUUAUGUGUAAAUCUUAGAUUUUGUAAACAAAACUUAAGAUAUUUAUGAGAUAUAAUUUUUAUAAGGAUUAAAACAAUAUACAAAAAAAUAUUUAUAUGAAUCAUAAAUGUUAUGUGUAGUUUGUAGGGACCAAAAUGAAAAUAAAAAUAUGAAGUUUUGAGUAGUGAAACUUCAAAUAUAGAGUUUCACUCUUCAAAUUUGAAGUUUUGAAGUUCUUUUUUGGAAAGCAAAAACUUCAUAUUUGAAGUUAUAGAGUGUCUUUUAGAAAUGUUCUUAAUGAAGCACAGGACCGUCUCAAAUUAAUUUUAGACCAUGUUCAAAAAAUUAUUAAUCGUACAUUUUAUCAAAUAAUUUUAAAAUUUAAUAACUUUAUCUAAUUUUUUUAAUUAUAAGUUCUAAAUUUAGUAUUAUAUCUAAAAUUUAAAGUUUUUUACCAUAAUUUAUCUAUACAUUUUUUGAAAAAAAUAAACAUUUUAUUUUUAUAUUUUGCGUCAUGUUCGAUCGCUCCACUUGAGCAUAUUUUUUUGUUUGACUAUACAGUAUCAAUGAUACUUUAAUAUUUUUCCUCGCAACUUAACUAUACGAAGUCGAUUGGAAAAUUAUAACCAAAAUAGUGAUAUUCAUAUGAAAGAGGAAAAAAGCCUAUUAAAGUUUAUAUUUAUUGUGGGGCUAAUUUGCGUACUAACCAUAAAUCAAGACUAAAUUAAAUAAGUAACCUUGAUUUUGACGUUAUUUAGCGUCAGACCUUUCAUACAUACAUUAUCCGGUUUUGACCUUUACUUUAACAGGUAACCAGUUACAAGUGAUAGUACAUGACGUUUUGUGUUGUGUGUUGUGAUGAGAACCACAUACUGAAACAUAAAAAAAAAAUUAACAAGAAUGGAAGGGAAAUGUUUUUACAGUUUACAUUUUUGAUAGUAAAUAAUUUUAAUGGUAAUAUUUUUGAAUUUCUAUGAUGACAUCGAAGUGUGUACUUCUUACCCAACCUAAACCUGAAACCAACAUAAACUAAACUGAAAAAACAGUAUUUUUCAUUCCAUUUGUAUAGUAUAAAAACAAAUAAAGCCAUUCUAUACAGAAUAGCCGACAUAUUCUAUUCCAUAUUACAAAUUUGUUUAGGGAAUACUAAACCCUAACUGGAAAUACUAAACCCUAACCUCUGAUUUGUAAACCAUACACACAUUUUAAUGAUGUAGGUUAAUGAUUAGAAAUGUGUGUUAUAGAGUUACAUACAUAUUUGCACAUUACGAGAACACUUCUAGACUAUAUACAAUGUACUAUUUAAAAUGAUACUAUGUGUAUACUAGAGCCAAAAUUGAGCAACAUGAAAUACAAAGUUAAUAGGGAUGGUAAUAGAACACUUAGCAGUAAACACUAAAUCCAAGUUAAGAAAAUAUAAAUCCAAUCCAUAGGCAAACCCAAAUCUUCAGAAAAUUAAAUCCACAUGCUAUAAUACUGGAGACAUGUAUUUACAUUCCGCAUGAACCACAUAAAAUACAAAGCUAAUGAGGAUGGUAAUAGAAAACUUGAUAGUAAACACUAAACCCAAGUUAGAGAAAUAUAAACCCCAAUACAUAGGCAACCCAAAUCUUUGUGAAAUUAAAUCCACCUGCCAUAAUACUAGAGACAUGUAUUUACAUUUCUCAUGAGCAACAUGAAAUACAAAGCUAAUGGGGCUGAUAAUUAAACACUAAACCCAAGUUAGGAAAAUAUAAACCCCAAUCCACCAUAGGCAACCCAAAUCUUUAGGAAACUAAAUCCACUUGACAUCAAAGCCUGUCUCAAACAAUCUACUUGGAAGGUCUAAUUUUUCCAUACCAAGCCUGAAGAAUGAAAAAUAAGAGAGGCGAAGAGUGAGGACAGUUCACACUGUAAUAUUAAAUAUAGAAUUAUGAGUCAAAUCGAAUAACAAUGACAAACGAAUGGAAAGGUAUAUGAUGUAAAAGUAUGAUUCCAUGUAAAAUGGAAUAAUGCAAACCUUAUACUAUUCCACUUGACAUGACAUAUAUCAACGAGAUAUACUGAUACGGACAUAUGAUGAAACAUCUAUGUAUUGUUGAUGCUAUUCCACAAAAUAAUAGAUAUUUCUACACCAUGAACAAUGCACCGCAGAGACGAAAACCCCAAUUCAAGCAGAACAUCAGAGAGGAUCCCAAAAUAAAAUCAGAUAAGCAGAGAAGAAGUUUUAGUAACCAAAAUCGACGGAAAAACACUGAGAACUUACAGGACUGUCAAAGAUCUCAGAAGAAUCGAGUUGGUGAAGUUGGAGAGGUCGGCUGUGUUACUACCCGCCGCCGAAACCGUAAUGCAAAACCCAACCGCCGAACCCUAACGGCGAACACGAUUGAAAGGGAGGACGACCGAGAUGAAAAUUGGAUUGCAUGCAGAGGCGAGGCGUUGGAGCAGAUCGGAGGCCUUUCGACUUCGAGAAAUUGCCGAAGAAAGUGAGAAGAAGAAGAUGUGAUUCGGAUGAAGACACGAUUUACAUUUGUGCAGUUAAAUUUUUUUUAAUUAAUUUUUGUAGCAGGUGCAGCCGGUUAAUUAAAAAGGUAAUACUGUAUUAUUAUGUAUAUAUGACACUGUGUAUCUGUUCAUUAGAUAAAAUAGUUACUUUGUUAAUUAUCGUUUUUUUCGUUGCCAUACACCCCAAUUUCCUUUUAUUGUAUAUCCUCCAUGGAGAUUUGAUGGGAAUUGAUACGGAUAGAACCAAAAGCAAUUCUUCUGGCUAAAGGUGCCCCCAUGCGAGAAUCAUAAUGUCGACCAUUCUACAUUCAUGUUGCUGCUUCUCUGUCACGUGCCACAUGACACAUCACGUGACAUCAAAAACAUAAACUAUGCAUCUUUCAUGAGUCUUUCUUUUUAUAAUACGCCAUAACAUUAUUAUUAAUAUUUUUGUUACUUGUGUACCUAUUAUUGUCAGUCCUUUUAAAUAUUAUUUCGAGUCCAUUGUAUACUGUAGUACUAUACUAAAUCAGGUCUGUAUUAAUAAGAAAUUGGGAUAUUGAAAAGCUGUUCCCUGAACUGUUUGUGCAUGUCAGGUUGUUUAUUAACGGAAUAUUCAGAAUUUAGUUAGGAAAAUAAAUGCUAAUCUAUCUUAUUAAAACUCAAGUACAAAAUUGGAGUGUUUGGAGACUUGAAUAGGACUUUUAAAAAUUUUUGAGUGUUUGGAAACAUGGAUUGCAGUCUUUUAAAAAAAAAUAUUUUUGUUUGAAAACAAGAAUAGUAGUAUUAAGAAAAAAAGUAAUGGGCUUAUGUUUUUUUAAAAAAUUGAAAGUUAUCUAGGCCACUUUUAAAAUAUACCAAAAUGGGUCAAUCUAAUUCCCUAAAAAAAAAUUUUCUAAACUAACCAUAAAACAAAAUUUAAACUUUAUAUACAUAUUUCAAAUCAAAAUAAUAAUUCAAAUUUGAUUUAUAUCAAAAAUUGAUUCAAAAAUAUACAUAUAUUCAAAAAUGGAUUUUUACUAAACUAUUUUUCAAUAACCAUUAUAAAAAAAUAUUGUCAAUAUAUAUAAGAAAAAUAUAAUACAAAGCCCAAUUUGAAAUACCAACUCAAAUUAUGGUUUUCAUAUUUCAUAUUAAGUUUUAAAAAUAUAAUAUAUGUAAUUAUUUAUAUGAUGGUAUGUAUAAAAUACUAUUAAUUAUAUGAUUACUUAUAUGAUGGUACAUAUAAAAUACGAUUAAUUAUAUGAUGAUAAAAUACGAUAUAUAAUAAUGACUAGGGAUGGGCUUUUGGAUACCCAUACGGGUUUAGUUCUGAUCGGUUUGUAUUUUGGGUUUUCGGGGUCAAAGAUUUCAGCCUUAUUAGAAUGUUUCUAAAUUUUGGUUUGAGUUCGAUUUGGAUCUUUGCGGGUUUGGUUUGGGUUUGGAUAACUAAUUUAAAUUAUUUUUAAAGUCUUAAAUCAUUAUAUAUUUUAAAUUUCUCAAAAUGUAUAAAUAAAAUAAUAUAUUACGUAUAAAUUUGAAUAACAUAUGUCAUAAUACUUAAGCUUAACAUAUCAAUUGGCUUGAUUUAAAAUUUUGGAUACGAAAUCAAUAAUUAUUUUAAGUAUUUUUGGUGAUUUGAGUAUACUUUAACUAUUUCAGAUAUUUACUUUUGACUAUCUAUAUAUAUUUUCAAGUAUUUAAACCAAUUUAAAAGUAUCAUUUUUGAUGUUUUAUAUACGUUAAAUCUAAAAAUAAUUAAUAUAUAUAAGUAUAUAAAUCUAUUUUUAGAUAAAUUCGGAUACCCAAAUACUUCGGUUCGGAUCAGAUUCGGUUCUCUAAAUAACAAAAUUUUGAAUAAUUAGAAUAUUUAAUCAAUUUAUGUUUGGGUUUGGUACUAUAUCUUUGGAUCGGUAUCGGUUAUGUUCUUCGGAUUCAUUUUUCCAAAUCUUAAUAAUUACAUGAAAAACAAAUAUCAACAUAUUUUUCAAAAUAUACACCCGCGCGCCUGCGCGGAUCAAAAUCUAGUUAAUUAAUUAAAGAUCCUGUUGCUUACUACAAAUGGCCACAAGAAAAGCCAACGUACCAAAGUCAUCAUUUAGCCUUUGCUUUUGUACCAUAGAAUCUCCAUUAUUUUUGCUAUCUGUCAUCCAUUUAUACAUUUAAUUUGUUUACAUCCAAACAUUAUGUAAUUUAAAUGAAGAAGCUGUACCUUUUUUAAUAAUCACUUUUUCGAAAAUUUUCAAAAUCAGGACUAACCUAUAACUUCUUUGUAAUGAAAAUCACUUCACUACUGGAGAUUCUAUGGUACAAACCUGCUUCUAUCAGUUUGUUAAAAUCAGUAAAUUACAUAAUCGCUUUAAAUGAGCGUUUGCUUUCUGAACCAAGAGCUUUUUAAGAACUUGAUAAACAUGUUUUAGUAAUGCCAUUGCUAUAUGCAAUGUGCAAAGUCACAUACUACAAGUACAAGGGUUGUUGUUUGGGAUCAUUAAUUAAUUUAAACCCUAUUUGCUAGAAUAAUUUUACUACUAUUAUUCCAUAUAUAUGUCAACUCGUUUGCUAGGUUAACCCUUUACCAUUACAUAAUGAUUUCUGACCAAAAUAGCUAUAUAGAAAAAUAUAUUUUCCAAUUAUAUAUCUAUAUCAUUCAUAUUUGAAAUCUAAGCAUUUUGUAGAAUGUCAACAACGAAUAUUUCAAGAAGAAAGUGCACAACUCAGAACAAACGUUUAAAACAAAUUUUUUUUUAAAAUAAAGAAAACUCAGAACAAACGGUGUUCUGAUUCUAUCGAUUUUGCGCUCUUGUUGUUUGGCGUUUCUUGAGCCAUAAUGAUCUGACUGAACAAGUAUGAAACGACAAAUGCAUUUCUUUCAUCUUAUUGUAUAUACAUUAUUGCUUGUCCAUAUCUUUAUUUAUUUAUAUAUAUAUGCAUUUUUUUCCCGAAUAUUGACUAUUUUGUAAUUGACUUUGGACGUUGCAACUCUCUGCUGGUUAAACAAUUGAAAUGGAUGUCUUAAAUCCUUUGACUUGUAUAUUCUUUUUAACGACUUGACUUUUGUGUAUAUCAAUUAUACUCAAACUAGAUCAAGAUAAAACAUACUCCCUCCGUUUUUUAAUAUAAGUCGUUUUAGAGAAACUUUUUUGUUCCAAAUUAUAUGUCGUUUUCGGUUUUCUAUGUAAAAUUUAUUAAUAAUUAAUGGUAUAUGACCAAUGAUAAUAUAUCUUCUAUUUUUCUGUUGGUUGAAUUGUGGUUAGGUAAAUAAUUAAUGAUGUUUUUGUUUAGAAAAUAUAAGAAAUUAAUGGUUUUCUUAAUCUACGUGCAUAAAUGUAAAACGACUUAUAUUAAAAAACAGAGGGAGUAUUAAACAAAAUAUAUUUAAUUUGUAACUGAAUAUUAAAUAAAUAGAUUCUUAUAUUACAUAAUCUAACAAUUGUGAAAUUAUAUAUGAAAAAAAUAUGUUUUUAAUUUGUAAAAUUGUUUGUUUUUAAUUUGUAAAAGAAAAUUAUGAACAAAAAUAUAUAAAAAGGAGUUAGAAAGAAAACAUUUAAAUGGCUGUAAACAGUUUUAUAAUUUAUGUGACUCAACACAUGAAAAUAGUUACUCCACCCAUCACAAAUCUUUGAGCUACAAUAACUUCACUUGUAUAUGUAUAUAAUCAAAAGCCUAUAUAAAAACUAUAGACUCAAAACUAUAUAGGGAAAUAUGAAGAUGUAAGAUGUUCGCCCUGAAUUAGUCGCUGACCUAGUUGAUGAAGCAUACGUUGUGGUGAGUGGUGAAGACCAUGUGGAGUCAAGGUGAUGAGCUGGAGUCAUGUAGACUUGGAGAGCAAGAGAGUACCAUGGAGAUAUGGAAAGAAGAAUAAACUUGAGGAGUAAGUUUAUGACUUAAAGAAAGAUGAAUAAGUGCAUUUCAAGAAAAAGAAAAUUGCACUUAUUGUUAUGGAAGAUGUCCAUACAUGUUGCCUCGGAGACUAGAGUUUCGGGAACAUAGAAAAUAAUUAUAAGAUAUCUAUGGGGUCGUCUAUAUAGAGAGAGAGAGAGACAAAGACUGAUCUUAUAGAGAAAGAGAGAAGCUCUUUGAAGUGUUAUGGGUCGUGCUGAAGCAGUGGCUGAAGUACUUGACGGUAGAAAGACAUAAGCGGGUAGUUUAGGAAUCUUUCAGUAGCGUGUGUUAGAGUGAUAACACUAGACGUGUAAAAGCUGAAUUAAGCAGAUCUUGUAAUAGAUUGUUUAAGGAGAUUCGAAUAAAGCAUUGGUGUUUGCUUGUGUAUUUUGUCGUUUAAUUUACCUUCUGUAUUACUCAAUUGUGGUGUCAUCUUGUACUAACAAACUAUAAGAAAAAACUAUAACAAAAAAUAAUGAUAGUGGAUCAUUAGCUUGUCAAAGGUCUAUUUGUAUAAUAAGAUGCCCUUAUGCAUACAGUCUAUAACCUUUUUGGUCUAAAAGAAAAAAUAUUAGAGAUUAUAAAUAAAAAAGAGAAAUAAGAAUUCAUCGAUUCCAGAUUUCUGAUCUAAGUUUUUCAGAAAAAAUAGUUUCUACAUAGAUAAAUUUUACAGUUUUUUGCAUGUCCCUAUUCGUUUAUGUUUGGAUGCAAACUGCAAGAAAGAUGUUUGGUAGCACUAUAUCUCCAUACUGGACGGACACCGUAGUGUCUUUACUGCAGCUUGCUCGGAUUCAGCUGGACUCUGUGCUACAAAAGAUGGUGUUUCAGACAGUUAUCUAUUCUAUCUGGAGAGAACGGAAUUCAAGAAGGCAUGGAGGUGUAUGAGUCACAACGGCUAAGAUCUCUCAAAGUAUCGACAAGCUACUUAGGAACCGGAUUUCAUCUCUUCGCUACAACUGUGACCAUCCAUUGAAAGGGCUAAUGGAAAGAUGGUUUGAAGUCACUUAAAUUUAGUUGGAAAGAGACUAUUCAUUUUUUAAUUUGUUCCUAGUAGUUUAGAUCGUAUACUCUUACUACUUGUAAAUGUGGUAGUUUGAUCAAUAAAUUUGAUAUUUAAUUAAAAAAAGAAGAAUUUUACACUAAUUCUCAUCUCAUCUAGUAAUUUUGUUUUCAUGCGUAUCUCUAGUUACAUCCUUAGAUUUUUUUUUUUUAUGUUUGAACUCGAAAUAACUAAAAUCUAAUUUUGUAAGAAAAAGAGUACAAAGUCUCAUAUUUAAUCCAUUAAUAUUCAUGAACAUAUUUUAUUUCCAAUAUUAAACAGAGUUACAAAGUUCGAAAAAUUAAAAGUAAACAUAAUUAUUAAGCUAUUAUUGGUAACUUGUAAAUCUGAUUUUUCAUUUCAAAUACAACAUUAAGUGUUUGACGAAAUGCAUAUAGUCAGGUCCUGCGUUUACUCUUGUACCUAUAGUCAUUUCAUUAAUCCAUAAUAUAUUAUACAUCUACUAAUGGCUUAUAUUGUAAUUGUUCUAGCAAAUGUUGGUCUAUUAAAAAAACGAAUGAAGAAACAUGUGGUGAUGACACCUUGUCAAUAAUGGCAAACUUGUAAAUAUGGUACAAAAUAAAUGUUAUUUUCUUAAAAUAUUUCCCUAUUAAUAAGUAAAGGAUAGCAAAUAAAGCUAAUUUUAACUUUACCUAUAUUCAUAUUUUUUGCAUGUGUCAUACAUAUACAAAUAAUUAAAAACCAUUAAGCAAUUAUAAUUAUUUUACAUUACAAAAAUAAAUUCGUAAUUAUUUAAAAAUAAUAUCCGCAUGGAUAUACAAAUCAAAGUCGAGUUAUAUUUAAAUAAAAUAUUUAUAUAGUAGAGUUAAAUAUUAUUCUAUUUCCAAUUCAUUUUGGACUAAAAAACGAAGGAAUGAAUCAAAUGAAUUCACUACUCAUAUUUGGAGUAGUUUUACUUUUAUUUUGUUAUGAAGUGAAAAUAUAACAGAAUUAAAAAGAAGUUUUGAUUUCAAAAUUAAUUUUGAAAGGAUAAAUAAAAUGGGGCUGGAAUACUCUGUAGGAUAUUUGUCAUAUCUUCACUUACCCGUUAAUAUUCGUGUACAAAUAAGAUCCAUUUAAUAAUUUGGGCUUUAAGAAAACAUCACAUGGGGUACAACAAAGUUGGAAUCAAAUUAUAUGGGCCUCUAGAUUCUCAACGUAUGGACAAACAUGCCAGAUGUGUAUUGAUAAUAAUACAUAUUAACCAUACAUUAAUUUGGAACAAAACUUGGGUUCACCCCUAUGGUGAAUCCUUUAAAUUCACCUCACUAUUGAUUACUAAUCAAAUUGUCAUGUAGGAUUAUUUAAAAAAGGUAUUAAAAGUAAAGAAAAAACAAAGAAAAUAGUUUUAAUAAGAAACGGAAGACGUCGACUUAACGACGUUCAUCAAAACACACCUCGCCAGCUGCUGCUUCUUCAAACUCAGAGCCUUCUUCACAAUCCCUAAAACAUACAGAUUGUAGUGUUUAUGUUCGAGAUCUGUGUUUUGCGUCGGUAUGUUGCGUUACUCUCUUUUAUUCUUUUUCAAAUUUUAGAAUCAUGUUUUUACAUCAGGUCAAUUCCCUAAAACAACAUAAUUAACCUCAAGUAUAACUAUUGUUUGUUAUCAACAAGGAAGAAGAAGAUGGAGAAGAAGAGCAUCUAGUUAAAAAAUCUUCUGGCGAAAGGUGCCCCCAUGCGAGAAUCAUAAUGUCGACCAUUCUACAUUCAUGUUGCUGCUUCUCUGUCACGUGCCACAUGACACAUCACGUGACAUCAAAAACAUAAACUAUGCAUCUUUCAUGAGUCUUUCUUUUUAUAAUACGCCAUAACAUUAUUAUUAAUAUUUUUGUUACUUGUGUACCUAUUAUUGUCAGUCCUUUUAAAUAUUAUUUCGAGUCCAUUGUAUACUGUAGUACUAUACUAAAUCAGGUCUGUAUUAAUAAGAAAUUGGGAUAUCGAAAAGCUGUUCCAUGAACUGUUUGUGCAUGUCAGGUUGUUUAUUAACGGAAUAUUCAGAAUUUAGUUAGGAAAAUAAAUGUUAAUUAAUUAAUUAAAGAUCCUGUUGCUUACUACAAAUGGCCACAAGAAAAGCCAACGUACCAAAGUCAUCAUUUAGCCUUUGCUUUUGUACCAUAGAAUCUCCAUUAUUUUUGCUAUCUGUCAUCCAUUUAUACAUUUAAUUUGUUUACAUCCAAACAUUAUGUAAUUUAAAUGAAGAAGCUGUACCUUUUUUAAUAAUCACUUUUUCGAAAAUUUUCAAAAUCAGGACUAACCUAUAACUUCUUUGUAAUGAAAAUCACUUCACUACUGGAGAUUCUAUGGUACAAACCUGCUUCUAUCAGUUUGUUAAAAUCAGUAAAUUACAUAAUCGCUUUAAAUGAGCGUUUGCUUUCUGAACCAAGAGCUUUUUAAGAACUUGAUAAACAUGUUUUAGUAAUGCCAUUGCUAUAUGCAAUGUGCAAAGUCACAUACUACAAGUACAAGGGUUGUUGUUUGGGAUCAUUAAUUAAUUUAAACCCUAUUUGCUAGAAUAAUUUUACUACUAUUAUUCCAUAUAUAUGUCAACUCGUUUGCUAGGUUAACCCUUUACCAUUACAUAAUGAUUUCUGACCAAAAUAGCUAUAUAGAAAAAUAUAUUUUCCAAUUAUAUAUCUAUAUCAUUCAUAUUUGAAAUCUAAGCAUUUUGUAGAAUGUCAACAACGAAUAUUUCAAGAAGAAAGUGCACAACUCAGAACAAACGUUUAAAACAAAUUUUUUUUUAAAAUAAAGAAAACUCAGAACAAACGGUGUUCUGUCUGAUUCUAUCGAUGCGCUCUUGUUGUUUGGCGUUUCUUGAGCCAUAAUGAUCUGACUGAACAAGUAUGAAACGACAAAUGCAUUUUUUCAUCUUAUUGUAUAUACAUUAUUGCUUGUCCAUAUCUUUAUUUAUUUAUAUAUAUAUGCAUUUUUUUCCCGAAUAUUGACUAUUUUGUAAUUGACUUUGGACGUUGCAACUCUCUGCUGGUUAAACAAUUGAAAUGGAUGUCUUAAAUCCUUUGACUUGUAUAUUCUUUUUAACGACUUGACUUUUGUGUAUAUCAAUUAUACUCAAACUAGAUCAAGAUAAAACAUACUCCCUCCGUUUUUUAAUAUAAGUCGUUUUAGAGAAACUUUUUUGUUCCAAAUUAUAUGUCGUUUUCGGUUUUCUAUGUAAAAUUUAUUAAUAAUUAAUGGUAUAUGACCAAUGAUAAUAUAUCUUCUAUUUUUCUGUUGGUUGAAUUGUGGUUAGGUAAAUAAUUAAUGAUGUUUUUGUUUAGAAAAUAUAAGAAAUUAAUGGUUUUCUUAAUCUACGUGCAUAAAUGUAAAACGACUUAUAUUAAAAAACAGAGGGAGUAUUAAACAAAAUAUAUUUAAUUUGUAACUGAAUAUUAAAUAAAUAGAUUCUUAUAUUACAUAAUCUAACAAUUGUGAAAUUAUAUAUGAAAAAAAUAUGUUUUUAAUUUGUAAAAUUGUUUGUUUUUAAUUUGUAAAAGAAAAUUAUGAACAAAAAUAUAUAAAAAGGAGUUAGAAAGAAAACAUUUAAAUGGCUGUAAACAGUUUUAUAAUUUAUGUGACUCAACACAUGAAAAUAGUUACUCCACCCAUCACAAAUCUUUGAGCUACAAUAACUUCACUUGUAUAUGUAUAUAAUCAAAAGCCUAUAUAAAAACUAUAGACUCAAAACUAUAUAGGGAAAUAUGAAGAUGUAAGAUGUUCGCCCUGAAUUAGUCGCUGACCUAGUUGAUGAAGCAUACGUUGUGGUGAGUGGUGAAGACCAUGUGGAGUCAAGGUGAUGAGCUGGAGUCAUGUAGACUUGGAGAGCAAGAGAGUACCAUGGAGAUAUGGAAAGAAGAAUAAACUUGAGGAGUAAGUUUAUGACUUAAAGAAAGAUGAAUAAGUGCAUUUCAAGAAAAAGAAAAUUGCACUUAUUGUUAUGGAAGAUGUCCAUACAUGUUGCCUCGGAGACUAGAGUUUCGGGAACAUAGAAAAUAAUUAUAAGAUAUCUAUGGGGUCGUCUAUAUAGAGAGAGAGAGAGACAAAGACUGAUCUUAUAGAGAAAGAGAGAAGCUCUUUGAAGUGUUAUGGGUCGUGCUGAAGCAGUGGCUGAAGUACUUGACGGUAGAAAGACAUAAGCGGGUAGUUUAGGAAUCUUUCAGUAGCGUGUGUUAGAGUGAUAACACUAGACGUGUAAAAGCUGAAUUAAGCAGAUCUUGUAAUAGAUUGUUUAAGGAGAUUCGAAUAAAGCAUUGGUGUUUGCUUGUGUAUUUUGUCGUUUAAUUUACCUUCUGUAUUACUCAAUUGUGGUGUCAUCUUGUACUAACAAACUAUAAGAAAAAACUAUAACAAAAAAUAAUGAUAGUGGAUCAUUAGCUUGUCAAAGGUCUAUUUGUAUAAUAAGAUGCCCUUAUGCAUACAGUCUAUAACCUUUUUGGUCUAAAAGAAAAAAUAUUAGAGAUUAUAAAUAAAAAAGAGAAAUAAGAAUUCAUCGAUUCCAGAUUUCUGAUCUAAGUUUUUCAGAAAAAAUAGUUUCUACAUAGAUAAAUUUUACAGUUUUUUGCAUGUCCCUAUUCGUUUAUGUUUGGAUGCAAACUGCAAGAAAGAUGUUUGGUAGCACUAUAUCUCCAUACUGGACGGACACCGUAGUGUCUUUACUGCAGCUUGCUCGGAUUCAGCUGGACUCUGUGCUACAAAAGAUGGUGUUUCAGACAGUUAUCUAUUCUAUCUGGAGAGAACGGAAUUCAAGAAGGCAUGGAGGUGUAUGAGUCACAACGGCUAAGAUCUCUCAAAGUAUCGACAAGCUACUUAGGAACCGGAUUUCAUCUCUUCGCUACAACUGUGACCAUCCAUUGAAAGGGCUAAUGGAAAGAUGGUUUGAAGUCACUUAAAUUUAGUUGGAAAGAGACUAUUCAUUUUUUAAUUUGUUCCUAGUAGUUUAGAUCGUAUACUCUUACUACUUGUAAAUGUGGUAGUUUGAUCAAUAAAUUUGAUAUUUAAUUAAAAAAAGAAGAAUUUUACACUAAUUCUCAUCUCAUCUAGUAAUUUUGUUUUCAUGCGUAUCUCUAGUUACAUCCUUAGAUUUUUUUUUUUUAUGUUUGAACUCGAAAUAACUAAAAUCUAAUUUUGUAAGAAAAAGAGUACAAAGUCUCAUAUUUAAUCCAUUAAUAUUCAUGAACAUAUUUUAUUUCCAAUAUUAAACAGAGUUACAAAGUUCGAAAAAUUAAAAGUAAACAUAAUUAUUAAGCUAUUAUUGGUAACUUGUAAAUCUGAUUUUUCAUUUCAAAUACAACAUUAAGUGUUUGACGAAAUGCAUAUAGUCAGGUCCUGCGUUUACUCUUGUACCUAUAGUCAUUUCAUUAAUCCAUAAUAUAUUAUACAUCUACUAAUGGCUUAUAUUGUAAUUGUUCUAGCAAAUGUUGGUCUAUUAAAAAAACGAAUGAAGAAACAUGUGGUGAUGACACCUUGUCAAUAAUGGCAAACUUGUAAAUAUGGUACAAAAUAAAUGUUAUUUUCUUAAAAUAUUUCCCUAUUAAUAAGUAAAGGAUAGCAAAUAAAGCUAAUUUUAACUUUACCUAUAUUCAUAUUUUUUGCAUGUGUCAUACAUAUACAAAUAAUUAAAAACCAUUAAGCAAUUAUAAUUAUUUUACAUUACAAAAAUAAAUUCGUAAUUAUUUAAAAAUAAUAUCCGCAUGGAUAUACAAAUCAAAGUCGAGUUAUAUUUAAAUAAAAUAUUUAUAUAGUAGAGUUAAAUAUUAUUCUAUUUCCAAUUCAUUUUGGACUAAAAAACGAAGGAAUGAAUCAAAUGAAUUCACUACUCAUAUUUGGAGUAGUUUUACUUUUAUUUUGUUAUGAAGUGAAAAUAUAACAGAAUUAAAAAGAAGUUUUGAUUUCAAAAUUAAUUUUGAAAGGAUAAAUAAAAUGGGGCUGGAAUACUCUGUAGGAUAUUUGUCAUAUCUUCACUUACCCGUUAAUAUUCGUGUACAAAUAAGAUCCAUUUAAUAAUUUGGGCUUUAAGAAAACAUCACAUGGGGUACAACAAAGUUGGAAUCAAAUUAUAUGGGCCUCUAGAUUCUCAACGUAUGGACAAACAUGCCAGAUGUGUAUUGAUAAUAAUACAUAUUAACCAUACAUUAAUUUGGAACAAAACUUGGGUUCACCCCUAUGGUGAAUCCUUUAAAUUCACCUCACUAUUGAUUACUAAUCAAAUUGUCAUGUAGGAUUAUUUAAAAAAGGUAUUAAAAGUAAAGAAAAAACAAAGAAAAUAGUUUUAAUAAGAAACGGAAGACGUCGACUUAACGACGUUCAUCAAAACACACCUCGCCAGCUGCUGCUUCUUCAAACUCAGAGCCUUCUUCACAAUCCCUAAAACAUACAGAUUGUAGUGUUUAUGUUCGAGAUCUGUGUUUUGCGUCGGUAUGUUGCGUUACUCUCUUUUAUUCUUUUUCAAAUUUUAGAAUCAUGUUUUUACAUCAGGUCAAUUCCCUAAAACAACAUAAUUAACCUCAAGUAUAAAGAAGAUGGAGAAGAAGAGCAUCUAGUUAGAAGAUAUGUUUUUAUUGGAAUUGAAAUUUUGAUUAAAUGUACAGACGAAGUGGAUCCAGACGAAGUGGAUCUAAGAAAAGUUCCCAAGAAGAAUAACAAAGAAGAAAGCAGAAGAAGAGACUUGAGGCGCAAGAAACGGAAGAGUGAAGAAGAAGAUUACUCUCUUUCUCUCUCUACAAGAACAAGAAAAGAAACGAGGGAGUAAAGAGACUGUGUCUGCUUGUUUAAUAAUGAAACACAAGACAAAACAGAGUGAGUGUGAGAAGAAAAACAGAGACUGAGUGAACAAGAGAAACACAGUGAGCGUACAACUAGAAUUAAGAAGAAUGCUUUCACAUCUCUGUUUAUAAGACAUUAUAAAUGUGUACUGUAUUUUUUAUAAGGCAAUAUAAUGUAUUUUAUAGAAGUUUCACAUCAAGAUGUAAGGAUUCAUCGAGGAAGAAGGUGAGAGAGAAUAGCUAUUUCUGGUUUGGUAUUCAUGGCGACGCACUACAAAGAUAAGGACCAGGAUCACGGCUAUAAGUGAUUCAACGUCGACAAAGUGAAGAGCAGUAAGCCAGUGCUUCAUUGUGAGGGGAGAAUAAUUUUUUUUUUUUUGCUCUGGUUUGUUCUUCGUUGGUCACUAGAGGAAGAGAACAUCUAUGAAAGAAAAGGGAGAACAUAUAGAGUUAAGAAAAUUGCAGCUAAAAAGAAAAGGGAGAACUAAUAUAUUCAAUACAAGAACAGAGCAGUCUAUGAAGUGUUGGGGCAUUGUGUGUGCUUUGCUAAAGGUUCAGCCGAGACGUUGAAGCUGAAUAUGGCCUUGAUUCUGUUACCUGUAUGCAGAAAUACCAUCACAUGGCUUAGAAAUAAGACUAAGAACGAAAACAAAACAUAAUUAAUAUCUGCUUUCAUAUUUAAAAUAACAGAGUUUUACGGUGAUCCACCACAACUCUUGUCAAAUCCCUACAAAAUAUGAGACAUACACAAAUUAAAAAAUGAUAGAUAAUUCAAAUAUAAAUGGUAUAGAGAAUGAAGUAUUAACCUGGAGCAGUUGUGAAAAAGAAGUUUCAUUGUCUAAGGUGAGACUAGUGGCAGCAACAGGUAACUGAGUAUCAAGAGGAAGACUUGAAUUCUGAAAUAUGUAGAUUGACUAAGUCCCAAAAUUCGAUGAAGAUUAGACAAACAAACAAAAACUAUAUAUCAAAUACCUGAAAUGACAACUUUUUUUUGGCUGUAGCAUUAUUGGAUGAUUUUGAUAUACCACGAUUUUUUGUUUCAAGCACACUCAUAUAUCGAUCAUGGCGUCCGACUUUUUGGUUCUUUGGUCGUCCAGGAGGCUUUUUUCUUUUUAUUCCACGUGCGUUUAGAACUUCUUCUUCAUCUUCUUCUUCCACAAGUCCAAAAUCUGAAGAGUGGACCAUCCAUUUAUUAGCUUUAACAAGUUCCUUUUUCUUUUCCACCAACUUUUCAAGCAACUGAGAGGCAGCUUCAUCUGCACACAACGUCAGGUCUACAUGUUCAGCAGCAACAGACGCAAUCUCACGGAAAGUACGACAUAUAUGACUAUAUCGCUUUCCGAUCGAUUGCUUCACUGUAUCAUUAGGUGUCGCUGAAUGAUAAAAGGAUAUGGUUCGUGCUUUAGCCUCUUUACUCCAUCGAUUCAGAAUGUAAGUAGGUGGAAUUCUUCUAACAUCCUUCUUGGCCAACACUUUUAAUGCAUGACGACAUAAGAUUCCACCAAAAGAAAACUUCAUGCAACUACAAUGUAUCGUUUCGUUUGCAGCAAGAUAGUUAACCAAAUGAUUUCUUCCAACACCACGAAAAGAUACAUUGUAUUCAGCACUCACCAUCUCAGACUUAUUAACCCUUUUGGCAACAUAAUCACCUAUAGCUAUGUAUUCCUUCUGGAACAAGGUAAAGACUUCUGGUGUAUACACGUCCAAUGCAUGUUGUAACAUUUCUACAGGAGCUGAUAAUACCGGCGAGGUAUGCAUCAUACUGAAGUCAGCAGUUAAUUAUUUAAAGCGCCGAUCAUCCAACACUCUCUCAUAGUGUUUAAAGAAGCGAAACAAGUUAUAACUGCUCUUCAAGUAAUUUUUCAAAAUAUUAUUCAUACUUUCACUACGCUGUGUGCUCAUCAUAUUGGCUGUAAAAUUUUGACGACCAUAUACCCUUGCCCAUUUUUCUCUCAACUCAAACAAAUCCUUCAGCCAUUUAUUCUCUGUCAAUCCAUGCUUCUCGAGCAUUUCACUCCAUGCCGAUAACCAUUCUACUUCAUUCUCAUGGUCAUAUACACAUUUUCCAAAGUCUGUGGCAAAAUGGUUUGGUCCAUGAAAUACACAACUCAACCUCUUUAUAGCAUUUUGGUAAAUAUGCCAAACACAUAACCUAUGUUUUGUUUCAGGGAAGACUUUUCCUAUUGCAUUUGCCAUUGCUGCACAUUGGUCAGUAAGAAUUGUUUGCGGCUGUUUUCCAGACAUUGCUCCAAGAAAAGUCUGAAAAAGCCACUCAAAAGAUUCGGUCGUUUCAUCAUAUAAGAGAGCAGCACCAAACACAAUAGUUUGCUUAUGAUGAUUGACCCCGACAAAUGGAGCAAACGGUCUAUCAUAUUUGUUGGUCUUGUAAGUUGUAUCAAAGCAAACGACAUCUCCAAAAAAAUUGUAAUCACUAAUUGACCGAUCAUAUGCCCAUAAAAUAUUAGUGAUCAUAUCGUCUUAAUCAAGUUGCAUUGAGUAUAUCGGCUGUAAAAGUUUGACGACCAUAUACCCUUGCCCAUUUUUUCUCUCAGCUCAAACAAAUCCUUCAGCCAUUUAUUCUCUGUCAAUCCAUGCUUCUCGAGCAUUUCACUCCAUGCCGAUAACCAUUCUACUUCAUUCUCAUGGUCAUAUACACAUUUUCCAAAGUCUGUGGCAAAAUUGUUUGGUCCAUGAAAUACACAACUCAACCUCUUUACAGCAUUUUGGUAAAUAUGCCAAACACAUAACCUAUGUUUUCUUUCAGGGAAGACUUUUCCUAUUGCAUCUGCCAUUGCUGCACAUUGGUCAGUAAGAAUUGUUUGCGGCUGUUUUCCAGACAUUGCUCCAAGAAAAGUCUGAAAAAGCCACUCAAAAGAUUCGGUCGUUUCAUCAUAUAAGAGAGCAGCACCAAACACAAUAGUUUGCUUAUGAUGAUUGACCCCGACAAAUGGAGCAAACGGUCUAUCAUAUUUGUUGGUCUUGUAAGUUGUAUCAAAGCAAACGACAUCUCCAAAAAAAUUGUAAUCACUAAUUGACCGAUCAUAUGCCCAUAAAAUAUUAGUGAUCAUAUCGUCUUAAUCAAGUUGCAUUGAGUAAAAAAAAGAUGAAUCAUCCUCUUUCUUUUUCUGAAAGUACUCCAAAACCGCUCCAGCAUCUUCCUUUUCCAUUGCUGCCAUUCGCUUACGGUAUAUGUAAUUGCGCAUGUCUUUAUCUAUAAAACCCAGAUUUGCUUGCCCCCCAACUUCUCUGCUCAUCAUUUCAAUGGUUGCUUUUGCUGAAAUUCCUGACAUAUCGGCAUCAUCGGCAUGUUGUUUUUGAGAGAUAGAGAUUGCUCGGUUACUCUUCAUCAAAUGCUUCAUAGGUGUCCUCACUAAAUCAUGGUUAUGAUUCGGCUCAAAAGUCAUAUCUUAUAUCUUCCGUUACUCUGAAGGUAGCAAGACAUGCGAGCUUUACAACCACACCUUGUGGUUGGUCGUGAAUAUGAUUUCCUGACCUUAGGUUCCUAUCUAAGCCCCUCUUUUGAGCAUACAUAAACCAUCCUUACUAGCUUUUUGUUUUUUCUCGUAGUCCGUUGUCUCCUUACGUCAAAACCAUGAUUGCCUCCGUACUUUCUAUAAGCAUUAUAUGCAGACUCAUCAGAACUAAAAUCCAUUCCACUACAGAGUUCAUAUUUAUUUUGAUUUUCAUUGUUUGCCUCUAAAGCAUCAGCAUCUUCAGUCUGAAUAUAAUCAUCCUUGUUGCCUAUGCCCGUUUCUUCAUCGAAAUCACCGACUGAAACAUCGUCAUCACUGAAUGAGGCAUCUUCCUCAGCUAAAAAAUCAUCCAAAUUCUGACUUAAGAAACUGGUUUCACCUGAGAUUUGAGUACUAAAUUCAUCUUGAGUAGCGGAAACAGUUUCUUGAUCACUUGAAUGACUAUUCUCCAUUGCAACUAUAUAGCAAAAUACAAACACCAGUCAGAGAUUAUCUUAGAUAACAUAGAAAAAUUAAAAUUUAUUUUAAUGGAGAUUCUAAAUAAUUGAUGUUUUAAAACAUAUCAAUUUAAUGCCAAUCAUCAAGUUUUAUCAUAUAUCAGGACCUGGCCUUAUUUCAAUCAUAAACCACAUCAAUUUAAUGUCUUCCCACGACCAUAAUGUGUACAAGAGCAAUGUAUUCCUAAAAAGUAAGAGAAUCAGUAGCUACAAUUUAGUAUAUUAGUUCCAAUUUGUCAACCUAGUAUGUUUAGUUCUUUUUCCUUUCAAAGCUAAAUAGUUAAAUAAGUUUGAAUAAUGCUUAACUCCAAUUUUUUUUAACAAAUAUCACAAAAUACAAACACACUGGCAGUAAGCUACAAAGCAUCCGUGACCUCCUAUAUUCCUUUUUUUUUUCUCCUAUUGCCAUGAUCAUACAUAGAUUUGAUUAAAAAAGACAUAACAACUCUAAGCUUAAAACUAUAUGAUCCUGAGAUAUAUAACAACCAAUAACUAUACUUGAGGUUAAUUAUGUUGUUUUAGGGAAUUGACCUAAUCGAAAAGCAUCGAUUCUGAAAUUUGAAUAAGGAUAAAAGAGAGUAACGCGACGUACGGUUCAAAACACAGAUCGUGAACCUUUGUUUGAAAGCUACAAUCUGUGUUUUUUUAGGGACUGAGAAUUGAGUUUGAAGAAGCAGCAGCCGGCAAGGUGGGUUUUGAUGAAUGUCGUUAAGUCGACGUUUUUCUUUUUUUUUUAAGCUAUUUUCUUUUUUUUUCUUUACUUUUAAUACCUUUUUUUAAAUAAUCCUACAUGGCAAUUUGAUUGGUAAUCAAUAGUGAAGUGAAUUUAGAGGAUUCACCAUAGGGGUGAACCCAAGUUUUAUUCUCUUGUGUUGGAUCUUCCAUCAAAUUCUUCGUCAGAAUCAAUUGUCCUUUUCACGUGGUUAUAUCCGAUUCGUGUACACAUUAGGAGUUGCAAAGUGAUUUAACCUAAUAUAUAUAAAACACAUGAAUCAAAUUAUUAACUGUAAAAUGAAUUUAAAUUAAAUAUCUAUAUAUACAUUAUACGUAAAAUAGUAUGGAAUUUAUCUGGAUGAAUAGUUAUCAUCUUGAGAUAUAUUGUUAAGUUCAUAUUGAAAAUGAGAAUGAACCGACUACUAUAAAAAAUACUUUGUACUUUGACCUCUUUAUUUAUGGUUAGGAAAAAACAUUUAUAGGCGUAUUAGUUAUUAAAUCAAAAAGUUGAAAAUGAAUUUGUAAAACAUGAAGCUAAUUCGGGGAAAAAGAUUAAAAAAAAAAUGUCGCAUAAAAUCAGAGCCUCCGGUAGCACAGCCGAAGCAACAAUAGGUUUUUUCUUCCCACGCCCGCCGCCGCCUAGUUGACAUCUUUCAAUUUGUGUAAGACGAAACUGAUUCGUGGAAAAUGGUAUAAGUAGUGGAAAUGGAAAAGAAACAAUAAGUAGAACUGGAAACAUUCAUACACCGAUUUCGCUCGACAAUUUAUUUACUGAAUCUCAUACUUUGCUGUUUACGAGAAAGAAAUCAUAUCUCUCAAAAAGCAGUACAAUACAAAUAAAAGUGGUUUUAAUCGAACAAAAAAUCGUCUAAUACCAUUAAAAGACAAUAUUCUAUUGCAGUGAACAGUCCAAGCUAAAACAAGCCAUACAUCUACUAUCUUAGCAAAUUUUGUAUCUUACACAACUGAAAAAGUCAUUCCAUGAAAUAAUGUUAACCCGUAUUAAAAGAUAAAAAACAAAAAAAUGAAAAAAAUUUCAAAAAAGAAAUUGUAGUAACCCUAAAGAAAAUCUUCAAAACGAAAAAGGUACAACAAAAGAAAUUGAGAAGUCAAGAAGAAUCGCCGAGUUCUCCUCCACCAGCCCCUAAAAAUUGAUAUGGUCAUCUGGGGGAGCACGUCAGUGCAGGUGGAGCCCGAAAAUGCCAAAGAGCUCUUAAAUUGCAUUUAUCUUCAAGAAUUAGAGUAAGUUGUGCUACGGUUGUUUCCCGAAAAAAAGAGAGAUGUGGAAAACAUAAUAGAUCCGUACUUAGACCGCGACAAGCCUGUUUAAAGAAUUAGGGAUAAUUGUUGGACUCAAAUACCGAAUACACUAAGGGCAUGAUUAACCCGGUUUCUUAGCCAGAGUUCUUAACUCAUGAUUUGACAUUUUUUUGUUUUUUUUCACUUUUCGGCUAAAAGACAAUUCUUAUAUCUCUUAUUUAAUAGACCGUUUUUAGCUUUUCUUAGUUAAAAUCUAAGAAAAGCUAAGAACCGUCUAUUAGGCGAAUCUAAAAAUCCCAGUCAAGAGAUCGGAGUUAAUCAUGGUCUAAGAAUAUUUCUAAAAGCAUGAGAGGACAAGCACAUAGGAGGUCAGCUUCGGUGUCGACUUAACCGGGUUUGGAUGCUGAUGACCUUCGAGGUCGCGUCGAACUAAUGCAAGAUGAUAAGACCAAAUCAAUGGAAUAUGCCUUGUAGAUCUCAAAUAAUUACGGUAACAGAAAGCACCCUAAGAUCAUUGGAAUCGUACUGAAUAGAUAAAGAAGAAGAUUUUGGUGCAACAAUAUUUAUAAAAAGAUGAGAAAAUGGGAGAAGAAGACAUCCGUAUUCCAGCAUACACACAUACAUUCGACCCAGGGGCGGAUCUAUGGUGUGAUGAACGGGGGCACGUGCCCCCGACUACUUUAUAAUAUUUAUUCAACAACCAAGGGAACAACUCUUUUUUGUAGACUAGUUGGUGAAGAAGCCCCACCAAUGACUUAUUCUUCCAAGGUUCGAUACCAUUCAUCUUUAUAAUUACUUUUUUGUUUUCUCCACUUUGUUGUACAGUUAAUUUGCUGUUUGACACGUUUACAGUCUACUUUUACUGUAUCUUUCUUUACAAGUUAUAACUUAUAUGCGGCAUUUUUCCUUCUUCCUUUUGUUUAUUUGUUUUUCAUAGUUUGUAUAUUAUAUUUUAUAUAUUCAUCUUUAGAUUUCAAGUCUGGCGCCACAUUUUAAGUAUAUUUUUAUAAUAACAAACAUUCACAACUGCUAGUAAAUAAAUAAAACCAAUUAAUACUAAAAUAAUAAAUUUAUCUAUUCAUUUUUAUUUCAUAUUUUAGAGUUUAGUUUAUAUAAAUAUGAUGAUAAAAUAGUUUAUUUACAAUUUUGACAUAUUGUUAUAUAUAUAUAUAUAUAUGUAAACUUCAUGAUUACUUUUCUAUAUAUUUUCAAAUUAUUUUUGUGUAAGAGAAUUAUUAUGAUUAAUACCAUUUGUGAAGAAGUGUAAGAAUUAUUAAAGUUACUUUAUAAAAAAGUUCAUGUGUUCAAAAAGUUAGUGUAAAUUAUUUUCACAGAUUAUAGUUAGCUUACAAUAUUUUUAACAUAUUAUUAUUUAAUUGUACUAUAUAUAAAAUAAUUUAAAAUAUAUUGAUUAAUUAUGUGCCCCCGUCAAAUAUCCGGUCUGGAUCCGCCACUGAUUCGACCUCGAGUUCUCUGACUAAAAACACUUUGACCUAGUUUUGUUAACUUGUUCUUAAUUUAAGGUUCACCCUUGUUUCGAUCAUUAUUGUUGUGAUCUAAUAUCAUAAAUACAACUAGAUUUUAACCCGCACACCCGUGCGGAUAACAUUUCAUUUAUAAAUAUAAAAUUUUAUAUUAUUUUAUAUAUAAUAAUUUAUGAUAAUAUAUUGCUGUCAUUUUUUUCUUAAUAGUCAUAAACUCAUUGUAUGAUUUUAAACAAAAUAAAUAAAUUAUCUUAAAAUUACAGUAGUAUUGAUUGUAUUUAAAAAUAUAAAAAUUAUUAAUAUUAAAUUGUAAUUCUCUAUAUAAGGAGAAUUUUCCCAUAAACAAACAAAUUAUUAAUUUAUGUAAAAAUUAUGUUUUAUAUUUAUAGUUAACUCAGUUAUACUCAGUUUAAUAAUAAUUUUAGUUCUAAACUCACAAAUGUAACCUUAAAAUAAUCGUACAAAACAUAUAUAUUCAAAUGGGGAAAAUCGCAUUUUAAACCCUGUGAGUGUCACAUUCUCGCACUUUAAACACUGAACGUUUUUGACUAGCACUUUACACCUUGAAAGUGACAUUCUUAUCAUAACAAACCUCCAACGAGAUUUAUUUGUUUACUAAGUCAAUGAGAUGACAAGUACUGUUCAUUUUGUGAUGACGAGUUGGUUUUUUCUUUUUUUUAAAUAAAAAUAAAAUACAUAGAAAAUUCGAAACAAUUCGAAAAAAUCGUUUUUUUUUUUGAAAAAUUAAAAAAAUAUUAAAAUAACUCAAAAUUAAAAAUAAAAUAAAAUAUUUUUAAAAAAAUUAAUCCGAUUAUAAACCAAUAAAUAUAUAUAAUAUAAUAACUUGAAUGGUGAUACUAGAUUCUGUUUUUUUGGUUUUUGAUUUUUUUUUAAUUUUUGAUUUAUUAAUACUUAACUUAUUAAAUUUUUGUGAAACUAGAAAAUAUCUCAUAGACCACUUAAAAUGUUUUUGACCUUAACUAAAAUACUGUAAGUUAGUUUGAAAUAUAAUUAAGAGAUAGAGAGGUAUGCAUUUAGAUUUGUAUAUGUUAGGUUUUGGUAUGAGUGGAGCUUCUUAGAUAAGUAACAUACAUUUUAGUUUCUUUAAAGUUUGAUUAGUUAUUUAUUUAAUUUCAAAGUUAUUUACUAUUUUAAGAACUUCACUUAUAAGUUAAUUUCUUUUUAAACAAACUUAAAAUUACUAAAAGAAAUAUCAUUUUAAUAAAUAAUACCAAUAAUAGGAUUAAUUUUGAAAAUUUAACAAGUUAAGUAUUAAUAAAUCAAAAAAUUUAAAAAAAAAUCAAAAACCAAAAAUCAGAAUCUAGAAUCACCAUUCAAGGUAUUAUAUUAUAUAUACUUAUUGGUUUAUAAUUGGAUUAAUUUUUAAAAAUAUUUAUUUUAUUUUUAAUUUUGAAACUUUAUUUUUUUAUAGUUUUUUUAAUUUUAGAUUUUUUGAUUUUUUUUGAUUUUUUUUUUGAUUUUUUUUAUUUUUUUUUAAAUUUUCAAUGUAUUUUAUUUUUUUAUUUAAAAAAAAAACUGACAUGUCAUCUCAAAAUGAACAGUACAUGUCAGCUAGUUGACUUGGAGAUUUGUUAUGAUAAAAAUGUCACUUUCAAAGUUUAAACUACUAAUCAAAAACGUUCAGUGCGAGAAUGUGACACUCUCAGAGUUUAAAAUGCGAUUUUCCCAUUUAUUUUUGUCAAUUUGAAUCUGAUUUCAUUAUUUUAUCAUAAAGAUAUUGUAUAUCAGUUGAUUUUUUCUAAAUUUACAAAUAUAAACACUGCCAAAUUUUAAGUAUGCAUUUUGAGAUCUACAUCUUAUAAGAAACAUGCAUCCUUUAUAGGGUCCUUUUAGAGCCCAUUUUAAUAUUUAGGUGUUUCUUAAAAAAAAGUUAAAAAUUCAUCUACCUGAGGCAGGUGCUCUUAGUACAUCUGUCAUGACUCAUUACUAUAUGAAUUAUUAGUAAUCAUCAUCGUGAUUGCGAAUAAAAAUCUAUAAAGAGAAUCCAUUGAGUGUUGUUGUUUUAAAUUGAAAUCUUAUCUGUAAAGCAUAGUAAAUGGAAGACGCGACAAAGUCAUAAAUUCGAAAAUAGGCAUGAGAAAGAUGUCAACCUUAUCUCUUUCUUUUCACGACAAACACACAACGAAGUGACGAACCAGCGAAUACUAGAUGGUACCUAACCUUGUACGUAUCGUACUCUUUUACUUCUUCUCUAUACUUCUUUCUUUGUUUAUUUUCAUUAAUUAAAUUAUUAUACGCGAAGCAAACGUGGACCUACAUAUCUUUUUUUUUUUUUGAUAACUCUGGUAUUUGGGCAGCUACAUUCCCAACUAUUCCUCCGAAACGGGUCCAGCGCCCCAACGGAAAGGAUGUUAAAUCUGUUGUGCCCAAGACUCGAAUCCAGGUGGCGGGCAGUACAGCUGUACCUCCUUUACCACCAAGCUACGAGCGCUUGAUUACAACUUUGAAUUCUCCACAAAUCCUUCAAUCAUGCUUUUUUAUCUUUUUGAUUAAAUUAUUAAGUAAUACCUUUAAGUUUACUAAUACAUACUAAUAGACUACAAGGUGUUUUUCCACGAUGCGUGAUUAAACAUUUUCAUAAUUUUUGAAAAGUUCUGUGUACAUUAUAUUCAUUAUACUAAAAUAAAUCGUAAAAUAAUUUAAUAUUAUAUUUUUAAUUCUAUAAUUAAGAAAAAUUAUUUGAUUAAUAUUUAAUGAUGUAAUUUAUGUUUUUAACUUUUUACUAAAAUACUUUUUCAGAUAAUAAUACAAUAUAUAUAUAUACAUAGAAAUUAUCUUUUUUUUAUUAUAUUUUUAGAUUUUAGAUGAUUCAAUAUUCUAUUUUUAAUUAUAUAAUUAAGAAUUUUAUUUGAUUAAUAUUUAGUUAUAUAAUUUAUGUUUUUAAAUUUUUACAAAAAGGCUUUUUGAGAUAACAAUACAAUAUAUACAAAAAUUAUCUCCUUUUUAAAUUAUAUUUUCAGAUUUUGGAUAACUCUUACUAUCAUUAAUUUUUAUCAAUUAUCUAAUCAAAUAAAUUAAAAUUUCGUUUUUAUUUUUAAUUUAGUUAUACAUUUUAUUUGAUUAAUAUUUAGUUAUAUACUUCAUGUUUUUAAAUUUAUACUAAAAGACAUUUUCAGAUAACAAUACAAUAUAUACAGAAAUUAUCUCUUUUUUAAAAUUAUAUUUUCAGAUUUUGGAUAAUUCUUGCAAUUAUUAAUUUUAAUAAAUUAUCUAAUCAAAUAAAUUAAAAUUUCGUUUUUAUUUUUUAAUUUUGUUAUACAUUUUAUUUGAUUAAUAUUUAGUUAUAUAAUUCAUGUUUUUAAAUUUUUACAAAAAAACUUUUUCAGAUAACAAUACAAUAUAUAGAAAAAUUCUCCUUUUUAAAUUAUAUUUUUAGAUUUUGGAUAACUCUUGUUAUUAUUAAUUUUAAUCAAUUAUCUAAUCAAAUAAAUUAAAAUUUUGUUUUUAUUUUUAAUUUAGUUAUACAUUUUAUUUGAUUAAUAUUUAGUUAUAUAGUUCAUGUUUUUAAAUUUUUACUAAAAGAUUUUUUCAGAUAACAAUACAAUAUAUACAUAAAUUAUCUCUUUUUUAAAAUUAUAUUUUCUGAUUUUGGAUAAUUCUUACUAUUAUUAAUUUUAAUCAAUUAUCUAAUCAAAUAAAUUAAAAUUUCGUUUUUAUUUUUUAAUUUAGUUAUACAUUUUAUUUGAUUAAUAUUUAGUUAUAUAUAUAAUUCAUGUUUUAACUUUUUACUAAAAGACUUUUUCAGAUAAGAAUACAAUAUAUACUAGAUAAUUCUUACUAUAAUUAAUUUUAAUCAAUUAUCUAAUCAAAUAAAUUCAAAUUCCGUUUUUAUUUUUUAAUUUAUUUAUACAUUUUAUUCAUUAAGGAUAUAAACGUUAUUAACCGCUCUAACUUUAAUGUAAGAGCUCCGUUCCGAAAAUUUACUUCGCAAAUAAUAGUAUAGAUAGUUUACCAAAAUUUGUUAUAUCGUAUAUAAUUAAAAUACGUAUAUGAUUCUACAGAUUUAAAUUAUAACAUAACGGGUAGUAUAACACAUGUAUUAAUCAGAAAAUGCAUCUAAAACAAAUCAAUGACGGCAGGGAAAAUGAAAAUAAUUCUCGUUUCGUCCAAAAAAUAUUAGUAGCACGGUAUUACGGAAUUUACUUUUAUAAGGGCAUCUCCAACUCUACUCCAUUUUCAACUUCAAACAUCAUUAUGGAGUAAAAUCUUCUUCAUCCCCACUCCAUUUUCAACUCCAAAAUAGAGUAAUGGCUAGGGUUACUCCAUUUAUGGAGUAAUCUUAGAGCAUCUCCAAUGUAUUACUCCAUUUUUUACUCCAAAAUGGUGCAACACCAAAAUGGAGUAAGGUUUUACUCCAAUGUAUUACUCCAUUUUCUACUCCAAAAAUAAUAUUUCUUAAAUAAUUUCAUUUUUAUUUUAUUAAUAAUUACAAAUAAAAUCUUAUACUUAUAAAAAUUUACCAAUUAACCCCAAUUAUUUUAUGUUUACGAUAAUAAUUAAAAUAUAAAUCAUUUGAAUUAAAUAUUUAUUAUUAAAAAGUACAAGAAAUCAUUAAAAAAGACAACAUAUAUAUAGGUUCAACAAUGAGCAUUAGAAUAUUUUUCCCACAAAUGAUCAACUAAUGCAUUUCGUAAUGAAAAAUGAGCUUCUUUAUUUUUGAUAAAUGAGCUUCUUUAUUUUUGAUAUUCCUAAAUCGAGCAAGAAAAUUUUGAAAUCGGACAUUUUCAUCUUCUGCAAUUUCGAUAUCUGGAGGUGGAGCUUCUCUUCCAAGUUCAAUUGGUGCAUCAAGUUCACGCUCAUCUUCAAUUAUCAUGUUAUGUAAAAUUAUACAUGUAGUCAUAAUGUCAUGUAACACAUUUUUUUUUCCAAAAACGAACAGGUCCUUUGACAAUAGCAAAGCGCGACUGUAGAACUCCAAAUGCACGUUCAACAUCUUUCCUGCAUGCUUCUUGUUGCGUUGCAAAAUAUUUAUUUUUAGGACUCCCUGGCUCUUGAAUAGUUUGUACUAUGGUCGACCAUUUUGGAUAAAUACCAUCCGCUAAAUAGUAACCCAUAUAAUAUUCUUUGUCUUGAAUAAAAUAAUGAGCAGGAGGAGCAAUACCUUGAGCAAGAUUGGAAAAAAGAUAAGAAGAGUCCAACACGUUGAUAUCGUUAUUAGUGCCUGGCAUUCCGAAAUAUGCAUGCCAUAUCCAAAGAUCAUAAUCUGCGACAGCUUCAAGAAUUAUAGUUGGUGAUCCACUACGACCCGCAUAUUGUCCCGCCCAACCGGUAGGACAAUUCUUCCACUUCCAGUGCAUGCAAUCUAAACUGCCAAGCAUUCCAGGAAAUCCUCGUUUUUCACCAAUAUAAAGAAGUCUGGCAAUAUCACUAGACGUUGGUGACCGUAGGUAUUUUUUCCGAAAAUAUAUUGACGAUGGCUCGACAAAAUCUUUUCAUACUUUCAAUUGCCGUUGAUUCGCCUAUCUUGACGUAUUCGUCUGUGGCAUCAGCAGGAAGACCAUAAGCUAGCAUCCGGAACACUGCCGUUACUUUUUGAAGAGAAGAUAAUCCAAGUCUACCCAUUGUAUCUCUCCGUUGUAUGAAAUAGUUGUCAUAACUUUCAACAGCAUCAACAAUACGAAGGAAUAAAGAUCGUGACAUACGAUAUCUCCUGCGAAACAUAUCGUCGUUGUAGGUUGGAGUCUCCGAAAAAUAAUCACUAAAUAGUCGAAAGUGUGCGCUUUCUCGAUCACGGUAAAUGAAAGAACGCCCCGGGACUGAACCACCGUGAGUAACCGAAUUGUCUUGUUGGUUGAGAAGAAACUGAAUGGCUGAAUUGUUGUUUGAUAUAGCAAGACAUAUGGCUUCUUCUUCGUCGUCGAUGCUAUUAAUGAUCUCCAUACUUUCAUCAUCAUCGGAAGAGGACGACGAACCAAGAAGAUUUGCUAUAUUUUUAAAAUUAAGAUUCAUUUUGAGAAAGAAUAUUUAGAGAAAACCGUAUGAAUUGUUGGUGCUUACUAGUAUUAUUUGUGUUGGUAUUUAUAGAGUUUUCGUUACAUCGUUAAAGAUGUUUUAAAUUUAUUUAUUUAAUUUUGGUUGAUUUUGCAUGGCAUAGAAACCAUGUUUUAGUGAUUAAUAUAUUUUGACUUACUUUGCAUGGCAUGGAAACCAUGUUUUGUAUGACAUUUUUGACCGACUGACUUUGAAUAAAUCUUUUGACCUUUGCAUGUUAAAGAAACCAUAUUUUGAAAAACCAACAAAAUUUAUUCACGAAUUUGUAAACUUGUGCAUGGCACAGAAAAAGAAAGUUUUACCUUUGCAUGGCAUAGAAAAAGAAAGUUUGACGUUUGCAUAACAUAUAAAUCACAUUUUGAAAACUAACAAAAAUUUGUCACGAUUGCAUAACAUAGAAAAAGAUAUUUUGACCACAAAUAAAUCACAUUUUGGAAACUGGCAAAAUUUAUUUACGUUAGCAUGGCUUAGAGAUCUUUUUCAUCUAUAAAUAUUGGUGGCUUCUUGCACCAUAUACAAUAUUUUAAAAUAUAUACACUACUAAUAAAAUGUCUAUUCGAUCUUCUGGAUAUUCUCAAGAAGAAGAUAAACUUUUAUGUGAAGUUUGUAUGGAAAUUUCUCAAGAUCCAAUUAAAGGUGCAUACCAGUCAUCUGAUGUGUUUUGGUCCCGUGUGAUGAAAGGUUACGAAAAUGGAAGGAAGACAACUUGGUGUGAGCGUACAAAAAGAUCUGUGCAAUCUCGAAUUCAAACUAUUGAGAAAGCAACAAAAAAAUUGCAUGCAUGCAUCAGACAAUGCGAAAAUCGACGUCCUAGUGGUGCUUCGAAUAAUGAUAUUGUAAGUAUUACUAUAUCAUUUAUAAUUUUGUUAAUGAUUUUUAAAUUAUUGAUUUUUGUUCUUAAUGAUAUGCAGUUUAAUCAAGCAAAGAUAAUGUUAAGUGAAGAUCCACAAUUCAAAACGGGUUGGAAAUUUGAUCAUGUUUGGAAUAUGAUUAAAAACUUUGAAAAAUUUAUGGAUGGUGCCACCUCUCCUAAUGAUCAUGUCAUUAAUUCUCCAACACAAGUAUCUCCAGGUUUAUCUUCGUUUUCUCCAAACUUAGACGAUGACGAUGAAAUUAUGAGUGGAUCUUCCUCUCAACGUCCAAGUGGAGUGAAAAAGUCAAAAAUGAAAAGGAAGCUUGAUGAUCAAUCGUCAACUGUUAUAAAAACUUUAGAAGAAGGAAAUAAACAACUCUUGGAACAAUUAAAGAAGACAAGUGCAGAGAGGAUUUACCAUAUGGAGACUCAAAAGCAAAAUCUUGCAGUCAAAGAAGAAAACAAAGUUUUGCUUUGUGAUUUGAGUUCCAUACAAGAUCCAAAUGUUCGUGCGUAUAUUCAAGCUCAACAAAUACAAAUAAUAUCAAAGCGAAAUGCUGAAUCACAAGAUCAACAAGCUCUUUCUCAGACUUCUCCGUUUGGGCAAUAUUUCACCGACCUUAGCGGAUCCGGAACGGAUUUUCCAGAUUAUUAAAUUACUUAUUUUAUGUUAUUUUUAUUUUUAUUUUAAUUAUUUAUGUUUUCUGUUAUUUUAUGCAUUUAUUUAAAAUUAUUAAAUAAUCUUUUGUGGAAUAUACUAUUUUCAUGUUAUUGUAUCAUUUUAAAUAUUAUUUAAGUAAAAAAUAGAAACAUUAAAGAUUCAAAGGACCAUUUUAUAAAUAAAAAAAGUUCAACUCCAAAAUGGAGUAAUAGGUAAGAUUACUCCAUAAAUGGAGUAACCCUAGCCAUUACUCCAUUUUCAACUCCAAAAUGGAGUGGGGUUGGAGAAGAUUUUACUCCAUAAUGAUGUUUGGAGUUGAAAAUGGAGUAGGGUUGGAGAUGCUCCUACUACUCCAUAUCUCACUUCAUAAUGAAAUUUACUCUAUAAAUGGAGUAAUCUUUUUUUUGGUUGUUCAUCACUCCAUUAUGGAGUGGAAAAUGGAGUAGGGUUGGAGCAAUUUUACUCCAUUUUCACUUUUACUCCAUUUUGGAGAAAAAAAUGGAGUUAUACAUUGGAGAUGCUCUUACCCAUUACUCCAUUUUGGAGUUGAACUUUUUUUAUUUAUAAAAUGGUCUUUUGAAUCUUUAAUGUUUUUAUUUCUUACUUAAAUAAUAUUUAAAAUGAUACAAUAACAUAAAAAUAGUAUAUUCCACAAAGGAUUAUUUAAUAAUUUUAAAUAAAUGCAUAAAAUAACAGAAAACCUAAAUAAUUAAAUAAAAAUAAAAAAAAACAUAAAAUAAGUAAUUUAAUAAUCUGGAAAAUCCAUUCCGGAUCCGCUAAGGUCGGUGAAAUAUUGCCCAAACAGAGAAGUCUGAGAAAGAGCUUGUUGAUCUUGUGAUUCAACAUUUCACUUUGAUAUUAUUUGUAUUUGUUGAGCUUGAAUAUACGCAUGAACAUUUGGAUCUUGUAUGGAUGAGCGUGAACUCGAUGCACCAAUUGAAUUUGGAAGAGAAGCUCCACCUCCGGGUAUCAAAAUUGCAGAAGAUGAAAAUGUCCGAUUUCAAAAUUUUCUUGCUUGAUUUAGAAAUAUCAAAGAUAAAGAAGCUCAUUUUUCAUUACAAAAUGCAUUAGUUGAUCAUUUAUGGAAAAACUAUUCUAAUGCUCAUUGUUAAACCCACAUAUAUGUUGUCUUUUUUAAUGAUUUCUUGUACUUUUUAAUAAUAAAUAUUUGAUUCAAAUAAUUUAUAUUUUAAUUAUUUAUCGUAAAUAUAAAAUAGUUGGGGUUAAUUGGUAAAUUUUUAUAAGUAUAAGAUUUUAUUUGCAAUUAUUAAUAAAAUAAAAAUGAAAUCAUUUAAGAAAUAUUAUUUUUUGAGUAGAAAAUGGAGUAAUACAUUGGAGUAAAAUCUUACUCCAUUUUGGUGUUGCACCAUUUUGGAGUAAAAAAUAGGGUAAUACAUUGGAGAUGCUCGAACACGUGUGUUCUGUUCUGAAUUUAAGAAUCCUCAAACAUCUCGGUUAGGUACCGCGAAAAUUCAUCGAUACAGAUUAUCUAGUGUAACUAGUUAACUCUAACAUGAAUUAAGUAUGUCUAUCAAUCUUUUCACAUGUAUAUUUUUUUUUUUGCAAACCAUGCAUAAUUAGAAGAGAAGAUCCAAAUUUUUUUGUUUUGUUUUAUUUUAUUUUUGAAUUCAAGAAGUUCUCCGCACAAACCUAUAAUUUUUUUCGGCCAUGAACAAGAGCCGGUUGUUUAAUCUCCUCCCCGUAGCUUCCGAGACUCAAACAUAAUAUAUCUACCUUUAGAAAAGAAAGAUUUACCAGUUGAAUUAGCAACUCCGAAUUCCAUUUUUUUAUUACUUGUAAAUCAUGCUUAUAUGUCAAUUUCAUUUCUGUCGGAUUAGAACCACAAAUGGAAAUUAAAAUUGAGUUGAUUACUAAAUUUUUCUAAAAUAUUAGUUUUUCUUAUUGAUUUAUCUACAUAGAAAAGCAAAAAUAUAUCAAUUACAAAGAAACAAUUUGUUUUUAAUUGCAUCAAUAGCCAUUUUUAUUUUGUGACUGUAAUUGUUUAAUGCCAAAUUUAGACAUUACUCAGAAAAAAAACAAUAAAUAGACUUUAGUAGUUUCGAAUUAGUUUUUUUUACCACACAACUGUUAAAAUAUUCUUUUUACAUUAGAAUAUUAAAUGAAAAUUGUAUAUUUUUGUUGGAAUUUACGUACUGUUAAAAUCUGAAUGUGUUAAAAAGAUAUAAAAUAUAUAAAUUGAAUAUAAAUGAUGUUCAAUGUUGUAUGACUUGUAAAUUCUGUUAUUUAUAUGUUUUACUCUACUGGAAACGAUCUGCUCAUAAAAUUAUUCAAAAUUUAAUUAAAAAGUUGGGUUCAAACAUUUAAGGAAGAUCCGUUUAAUGAAUAUUUCACAAGAGUGAUAGUUAAUAUAUAUUUGUUUCUGUAAAAAUGUUUAUAUAUAUAUAUAUAUAUAUAUAUAUUAAUUCUUUCGUUUUUUUCAGAAACAUGCUGAAAAAUCAGAGGAUGAUGAAAAUCUUAAUCGGAACCAAAAGAGAGAUAAAAUCGAAGACGACUACCGCCAAAGUGAACUCGUCAACUAUGGAUUCAUUAUUCGCGUUAUCAUUACGCAAAUCAUUAUACUAAUUAAAUUUCUCUUCAUUUGCGUCAUCCGUUAUAACAUCAUAAUGAUCAUCAUAUUCAUGGUUAUGCAGGUCAUAUAAAGGCGUCAUCGGUAGGUUGUUCAGAUACCCCGACUUCAUUUAUACAUGAAUCUUAUUACAAUUUGGUUCUUCUCAACCGAUUAUUCAACCCCUAGAUGUAACUUUAAUAGAAAAUAACCAAACUAUUCCAGAAGCUUUGAUCAAAAGUAAUGGAUAAAGUUAACUUGGUAUGUUUGAGAUGCUAAUAAAGGUUCGAAAAUUUUGUACUUUCAUGUAUCAUUGACAUCAACAAAUACAAAUUUGUUAUACCGAACACCUCUAUAGACGACGGGUUUGAACCAAUCACAUUUAAAGAUUAACUCAUUUCAUCCUCACUAAUCCAAAAAAUUCUACUUCGAUAAUCACUUGCAAGAUCUCAUAGAAAUCUAUUUCACUUUUCUCACAUAUUUUGAACAUAAAAUAAGUAAUUUAAUAAUCUGGAAAAUCCAUUCCGGAUCCGCUAAGGUCGGUGAAAUAUUGCCCAAACAGAGAAGUCUGAGAAAGAGCUUGUUGAUCUUGUGAUUCAACAUUUCACUUUGAUAUUAUUUGUAUUUGUUGAGCUUGAAUAUACGCACGAACAUUUGGAUCUUGUAUGGAUGAGCGUGAACUCGAUGCACCAAUUGAAUUUGGAAGAGAAGCUCCACCUCCGGGUAUCAAAAUUGCAGAAGAUGAAAAUGUCCGAUUUCAAAAUUUUCUUGCUUGAUUUAGAAAUAUCAAAGAUAAAGAAGCUCAUUUUUCAUUACAAAAUGCAUUAGUUGAUCAUUUAUGGAAAAACUAUUCUAAUGCUCAUUGUUAAACCCACAUAUAUGUUGUCUUUUUUAAUGAUUUCUUGUACUUUUUAAUAAUAAAUAUUUGAUUCAAAUAAUUUAUAUUUUAAUUAUUUAUCGUAAAUAUAAAAUAGUUGGGGUUAAUUGGUAAAUUUUUAUAAGUAUAAGAUUUUAUUUGCAAUUAUUAAUAAAAUAAAAAUGAAAUCAUUUAAGAAAUAUUAUUUUUUGAGUAGAAAAUGGAGUAAUACAUUGGAGUAAAAUCUUACUCCAUUUUGGUGUUGCACCAUUUUGGAGUAAAAAAUAGGGUAAUACAUUGGAGAUGCUCGAACACGUGUGUUCUGUUCUGAAUUUAAGAAUCCUCAAACAUCUCGGUUAGGUACCGCGAAAAUUCAUCGAUACAGAUUAUCUAGUGUAACUAGUUAACUCUAACAUGAAUUAAGUAUGUCUAUCAAUCUUUUCACAUGUAUAUUUUUUUUUUUGCAAACCAUGCAUAAUUAGAAGAGAAGAUCCAAAUUUUUUUGUUUUGUUUUAUUUUAUUUUUGAAUUCAAGAAGUUCUCCGCACAAACCUAUAAUUUUUUUCGGCCAUGAACAAGAGCCGGUUGUUUAAUCUCCUCCCCGUAGCUUCCGAGACUCAAACAUAAUAUAUCUACCUUUAGAAAAGAAAGAUUUACCAGUUGAAUUAGCAACUCCGAAUUCCAUUUUUUUAUUACUUGUAAAUCAUGCUUAUAUGUCAAUUUCAUUUCUGUCGGAUUAGAACCACAAAUGGAAAUUAAAAUUGAGUUGAUUACUAAAUUUUUCUAAAAUAUUAGUUUUUCUUAUUGAUUUAUCUACAUAGAAAAGCAAAAAUAUAUCAAUUACAAAGAAACAAUUUGUUUUUAAUUGCAUCAAUAGCCAUUUUUAUUUUGUGACUGUAAUUGUUUAAUGCCAAAUUUAGACAUUACUCAGAAAAAAAACAAUAAAUAGACUUUAGUAGUUUCGAAUUAGUUUUUUUUACCACACAACUGUUAAAAUAUUCUUUUUACAUUAGAAUAUUAAAUGAAAAUUGUAUAUUUUUGUUGGAAUUUACGUACUGUUAAAAUCUGAAUGUGUUAAAAAGAUAUAAAAUAUAUAAAUUGAAUAUAAAUGAUGUUCAAUGUUGUAUGACUUGUAAAUUCUGUUAUUUAUAUGUUUUACUCUACUGGAAACGAUCUGCUCAUAAAAUUAUUCAAAAUUUAAUUAAAAAGUUGGGUUCAAACAUUUAAGGAAGAUCCGUUUAAUGAAUAUUUCACAAGAGUGAUAGUUAAUAUAUAUUUGUUUCUGUAAAAAUGUUUAUAUAUAUAUAUAUAUAUAUAUAUAUUAAUUCUUUCGUUUUUUUCAGAAACAUGCUGAAAAAUCAGAGGAUGAUGAAAAUCUUAAUCGGAACCAAAAGAGAGAUAAAAUCGAAGACGACUACCGCCAAAGUGAACUCGUCAACUAUGGAUUCAUUAUUCGCGUUAUCAUUACGCAAAUCAUUAUACUAAUUAAAUUUCUCUUCAUUUGCGUCAUCCGUUAUAACAUCAUAAUGAUCAUCAUAUUCAUGGUUAUGCAGGUCAUAUAAAGGCGUCAUCGGUAGGUUGUUCAGAUACCCCGACUUCAUUUAUACAUGAAUCUUAUUACAAUUUGGUUCUUCUCAACCGAUUAUUCAACCCCUAGAUGUAACUUUAAUAGAAAAUAACCAAACUAUUCCAGAAGCUUUGAUCAAAAGUAAUGGAUAAAGUUAACUUGGUAUGUUUGAGAUGCUAAUAAAGGUUCGAAAAUUUUGUACUUUCAUGUAUCAUUGACAUCAACAAAUACAAAUUUGUUAUACCGAACACCUCUAUAGACGACGGGUUUGAACCAAUCACAUUUAAAGAUUAACUCAUUUCAUCCUCACUAAUCCAAAAAAUUCUACUUCGAUAAUCACUUGCAAGAUCUCAUAGAAAUCUAUUUCACUUUUCUCACAUAUUUUGUAGCCAAUUGUUACCCAACGUCUCUUAUACUUGUAAGCAUGAAAAUUAAAACCUCUUGUUGAUCUUUGCAAUCGGAUCUUGAACCAAUUCAUGAAACCAUAGAGGAUAAAAUAGAUUGUCCUAAUCAACCUUCAAAUUAUAAAAAAUUCUUGGAUUUACAUUAUUAUUACAUUUUUUUGGUAAAAUUUGCUAUGAGGUCAAAAUUUUACCAAAAUUACAUGGGUAUUUAACCACUUAAUAAUGUGUUGAUCUUUUUGUUUGUUGAGCUAAACAGUGGAUAUUCAUUCAAUAUCUUUUUCAACUUUGAUAACAAAUGAGCUGCAUAAUAACAUUAGUUUACUGUAUGCAAUGUUACGUGAAAUUUUUUAACAAAUAAAUAUUUUACAUUUCAAAUUAACGCAUUUUCUCACAAUUAAUAGAAUAAAUGUGUGGGCGCUGUGACAAUUUUGGGGACUCGGCCACCAAAAAAAAUGUUAAGUUCUCACUUAAACAUCUAAUUUGAGAGAAGAGGUUUGGAAAACCUUCAAAUGCAUAUGGUUUCGUGAUAGCACCAUCAUCAUAUUUUCAAGGAGCUAUUUUUUGUGUACAUGUCUUUGGUCUAAUGUAGUAUGAUAUAAAAUGAGAUAUUUCCUCUUUUAAACUUUCAGCAUGAUUGAGUCUUUCACCUCUGCAAGAUUUUUGUUUUUCUUUUCAAAUGUUUAUGAAGCGCCCAAAUAGAUACAUUUAUCAAAAUUGAAAAUGUCUACAUAGUAAUGCCUUGUGGGUGGUGAUGGAUCGGGAGAUGUCCCAUGACGUUAAAAAACCUGAGAAAUAUUGUUAUGAGUAUUGUUACAUAAUAUAAUCAGAAUAUUGAAUAUUGUUACGAAUUGUUACAUAAUUUGUUGUAUGAUAUUUUUGGUUUGUACAUAUAUUCAUGUAGUAAAAUCUUUGAAAAACACACUAAUGUCUUGUAUAGAAAAAUUAAACAGAUUAGUUGUUAGUAAGUUAAGAUAAUAAGUAAAUAGUGAUAUCACAUUACAAUAUAAAAUUAUCUACCUGCAAUUGUUUCAUGGAUAUUUGUUGGAAGCAGCUCUGUAAAUGUAAAUGAAAGUUGUUGUUGCAUAAAAACAUGAAAAUCAUCACUCUUUAUUCGUAAAUUUUUUGGACAUAAUUCAACAAAUCUUGAGAGAUUUGAAACAUACUAUCAUGAAACUUCGCUUCAGAUGCCACUUAGUUGAACAACACUACCUUUGCUUCUGAUGACUAUUUAAAAAUAUGAACUAGAUUUUUUUCGUUGUUUUUGACAUGUAUCUCACACUUUGAACAAAUAGCAGGUAAGUCUAACCUUAACUUUUUGCUAUCAUUUGUCUUUCUUUGGACAUUCAAUUUGUAUGCAUGAAGUUAUCAAAAAUAUUAUUUUUUAUAUGCAUCAUAUCCAAAUUGUAUCGCAAAAGAAGAUUUUUCAGCAUUGAAGUUCCCAAAACAUAUUCUUAUUGUGUUAGUUGUGAUGAUCCCCAAACCAGUAAGCAUAUUUUCAGAAAUAUGCUGAUUACCCUCACGACGAACUUUUUAAGCAUCAUAGCAAUCAAUUAUCUUUUCAAAUUUUCCUCCACUUAAAUAUGCAUGAAGAGUGUCUCUUCCAAUUACUUUGUACCUAAACAAUGUUUUUUUUCUUUGGUAAGUGGUUAAGGGGAGGAAAUCGACGAUAACAAUCAAAACAACAUGUAUUUCUAUUGUACUUCAAUUAAAAAGCAUAUGACUUCUAAGACAAUAUGUAUGAGAUAAAUGUAUUGUCCAUCAUGAUAUCAUCUUGACAAUUUUUGAUGUACACAUUUAUCAUUUCCAAAAGUAACCCGAGAGUAUAAACCAACUAUUAAAUCUUAUAGUAAAAACAUCACACAAAUUGCUCUGUUUCAAAUACUCUUUAAACAACUCAAUUCGUGCAUCCAUGCAAAUUUUAGGUAAAUUAUGAUCAAUUUUAAUAUUCAUCAUCCUAGUUGCUAAAGAAAAUCUAGAAAGAAUUUCUCAACAACCGACAUAGAUAGACCGAUUCACAACAUCAAACUUUUCAUAAAAAAAUUUGGCAUCCAAACUAGGUUCUUCAACAUUACCAACUUCAUUAGCUUCUAAAAAUACAUUUGUAGCCAUGUCGUAAACUAUGUCAUGAUCUGCCCUCUCUUUUUUAUGAUGAUAACUACUUUUUAUUAUGCAAGUCGAUUCUUCAAUAUUACCAACAACCUCAAAAUUAAUAUUAAUACUACUAAUUCCAUUCUCACCAUAAUUCUCAUUAUAUCCAAGAAAACAUAGUAUUUGGCGGGGUAAAAUCCUACAUUUACUAAAUAAUUCAACAUAAUAUCAUUACGGAUAAAUUUUGUAUUUUUACAAUUUUAAUAAAUAUAUAAUAUUAACGGGUUUUUAUGUGACUUAUAUAUUUUUAGCCUGAUAUAUGAAUAUUUUUAUUGGUAACAAUAAAGAAUCGAUAGAAUUGAAAUAAAUGGAAUGAUAAGAAUGAAAUGCAAUAAAAAAUGAAAUGAAAUUCAUUCCAUUCAUUCAUAACCAAAUUUGUUUUGGAAUCAUUCCUCUUCAUUGUAUUUAUCUAUUUUUUUUUGUAGAAUUGAUGGAAUGAAUGACUAUUUCAUUUUAUUCAUGUCAAUUGAAAAAUUUUGUUUUGGAAUUAAUGAAAUAAUGCAUUCCACGUCAUUCCAUUCUAAAAAUCAACAAUUUAGUUACAGUUUUAGAUUAUUGAGAUACCAACACCACAAAAGGUACAUGUCAAGAGAGAUUAAAGAAAAAAUGAGUAUUUUCUCACAGUAAAAAUGGUCGAAACCAACCACCAAAAAAGCAAUACGAAGAACACGAGAAAUCAUUUACAAGUAGAAAGAAUGAAGAUAGGCGGGACAAAAAAAUGCUGCUAAUAUAAAAUUUUCUUCUAGAUUCGUACAAAUAAGAAGAAAUUCUCAUUUGAAAAAGCUACAAAGAAAAAUAUCUUAUCAUUCAUGAUAAUAUAUAUUACCUUCCACUACAUGACUUAUCUGGACUAAAAAAUCAAUAAUUUUCAAAAAAAAAAACAAAUAAAUAUAUAUUUCCACAAAAGUGGUCUACUCUACACGUACAUGUAAUUGUCUUUGUAUUUUGUCUUUCAAAGUAAAGGUAAUAUUUUUGCCUUAUGGGGCCAAUAUAUUUCUCUGAGUAGAAACAAAUAGCAAAUACAUACGUCUCCUUAAAACCAGCUUUGUCAUCAAAUCAAAAGCCAUUCUUUCUUUCCGUCUUUCACGCUCCGCCUCUCCUUCAUCGUUUCAUAGAUUCUUUUUCCUUUUUUUUUCUCCUUCCUCAGAUCUCUUUUCCUUCAAAACAAUCCUCUGUUUUGAUCUCUCUGAGGUUGUUUUCUUUGGAGGAAGAAAGAAAUCUCUUCUUCUAGCGAUCUCGUCGAUGUUUUUUUUUCUUCUUUGCAUGGUCUAGUGGAUGAUUGAUAACGUUUGAUCGCUGAAAUUUUGGUGACGUUUCUGGGUUUAUGAUAUUGUAGAAAAUUUAGUUAAAAAAAUAUAUAUAUCUUCUGGGUCAAUGAUAAUAGUGGUCGACGAGUCGGUUUCUUAGGGUUUACUUUUUUCUAAUUGUCUUUGUAGAAUUGUUGUUUUAUUCAUUUCUAAUUGAAUUUUCAACGCUAUUAUUGAAGAGAAUUUCAGCUUGUGGAAUUUAUUAUCGAUUGAGAAAAAAAGUCUUUUCAAAUAUAUAUUAGAAUCUA